rnacentral:rRNA from 1 species
GACGUAGGGCGCGAGCGUUGUCCGGAUUUAUUGGGCGUAAAGAGCUCGUAGGCGGCUUGUCGCGUCGUUCGUGAAAACCUGCAGCUCAACUGCAGGCUUGCGGUCGAUACGGGCAGGCUAGAGUUCGGUAGGGGAGACGUGGAAUUCUGGUGUAGCGGUGAAAGUGCGCAGAUAUCAGGAGGAACACCGGUGGCGAAGGCGGGUCUCUGGGCCGAUGACUGACGCUGAGGAGCGAAAGCGUGGGGAGCGAACAGG